rnacentral:rRNA from 1 species
UACGGAGGGUGCAAGCAUUGAUCGGAAUUACUGGGCGUAAAGGGCGCGUAGGCGGUUUGAUAAGUCAGAUGUGAAAUUCCGGGGCUCAACCCCGGAGCUGCAUUUGAAACUAUCAGGCUAGAGGGAACUUAGGGAAAACGGAAUUCCACGUGUAGCGGUGAAAUGCGUAGAUAUGUGGAGGAACACCGGUGGUGAAGACGGUUUUCUAGGGUUUUCCUGACGCUGAGGCGCGAAAGCUAGGGGAGCAAAC